CUAUAAGUAUUAUUAAUCAGUCAACAUGGAAGAUGUUAAAUAUAUGUAUAUCUACUAUUACCACCACCAGAUAUAAUGGGCACCGGUGAAAUCUAAACAUCACUAAGGUCUUUCUAAACCUCAUACUUCUGUCAUCGUGCUCAGCAUUUAAACCUGUGUUUUGGUGCAAGAAAAUAGAAUACUGGGUAACGGCCUGAGCAUUCUUAAUAUUAACUGCUGGUUUUAGUCAUGGAUGGAAAGAACACCCAUAGUGUUAGGCAAUUUGCUUCUCUGAAGAUGCCAUCCUGCAGGAGUCUCACCUUUCAGAGUUCAGAGGUUACCUUUUUGUGUGUGACAAGUCAGGAGAGUUUUCUUGCAUCUUAUUUUUUGUCUUUUUUUUCCCC